UAACACCGGAGCCACGAGUGGCAAUCGCGUUUAUUGGGUUUAAAGCGUCCGUAGCCGAUUUAAUAACUCUUUUGUGAAAUUGCUUGACUCAAUCAAGCAGAUUGCAAGAGAAACUGUUAAGUUAGGGACCGGUAAGAGACAGAGGUAUUCUUUGGGAAGCGGUAAAAUGUUUUAAUCCUUAGAGGACCACCGAUGGCGAAGGCAUCUGUCUAGGACGGCUCCGACGGUCAGGGACGAAAGCUAGGAGAACGAUCGGGAUUAGAUACCCCAGUAGCCCUAGCUGUAAACCCUGCGAACUAUGUGUUGCAUAUUUUUCGUGAAUAUGCAGUGCCGUAGCGAAAGUGUUAAGUUCGCCACCUGGGAAGUAUGGUCGCAAGACUG
rnacentral:rRNA from 1 species